rnacentral:lncRNA from 1 species
CUCAUCACCAAGCCCUAUUAUACAAUCAUCCAGCACACAUUAUACCACAUUUGAUACUUCCAAAAUAAGUUUAAGUCAUAGCCACAUACACACUAACUUUAACAUUAUAAUCAAGCCAUUUUCGUAUGGCUAUAUAUAUAAAUAUACAAACUUCAAAACCAAAUAUAUCAAAACAAGCUUAUACAUGCCACAUAACCAAAUCUCAAAGCAUUAGUUACCGAAAUGAUAACUGGAUAGUAUGAUGACGUCUCCAACAACUUCCAACUUGAGCAAUUCACUGAAACUCUAAAGACAUAGGAAAAACACACAGAGUAAGCUUCGAGAACUUAGUAAGUCAUCAGCAAAUAAAUAACUCAAUAUUAAUAUCAACUUAGUUUAAUCAAACUAAUUUAUACUAUCAUGAUCACAUUUAUUUUCAAGCUCGUAAUUUCAUAUAUAACAUAUACUUCCACGUACAAAUUUUACCUUGACCGAAUAUACAUGUAUCUAUUAUCAAAAUAACAUACCCUUUCAAAGCCAUAUUAUCAAUGUAUAUAUAACUGAAUAUUUAAACUCUUAUAUACAUAUCUUCAUAAAUCAAACCAUAAUAACACAUAUAUAUAUACAUAAUAUGUGGUCGAAUAUAUAUUUUACAAUUGCCCAAAAAUGAAAACACAUACAUUUCAUUUACAAAAUCACUUAUACUUUUCAUUUGGCCAAUUAUAGAUUUUCCUAUACAUAUAUACUCUCAUUUAUGUCAUGAAUACAUAAGUAAACCGAAUGUAUACUUUCACAUAUGCAUACAUAUAAUUCACAUUAACAUGUAACAUUUAUAUCAUUAAUCCAAACAUCCUACUUGCCAUAAUUUCAUAAUUUAGUAUGAAUACAUACCUGAGCCUUUUAAAUUGAUUUUUCAUGCGUCAGAAAAUAGCAUUACAUAACAUUUUUAUCACAUAUCUUUUAGCCAAUUUACCUUCAUUUCAAAUAAGUAAACCACAUUCACAUACCUGAUCACUUUAUCUCAUUUAACACAUUUGAUUACUUUUACCGUUGUUCACAUAAAAUUUGCUAGGCAUAAAGCCUAGUAUAAUACACCGGCACAGAGCCUUCUAGGCAAUAAGCCUGAUAUAAUACACCGGCAUAUAAAGCCUGCUAGGCAAUAAGCCUGAUUAUACAAUCAUCCAGCACACAUUAUACCACAUUUGAUACUUCCAAAAUAAGUUUAAGUCAUAGCCACAUACACACUAACUUUAACAUUAUAAUCAAGCCAUUUUCGUAUGGCUAUAUAUAUAAAUAUACAAACUUCAAAACCAAAUAUAUCAAAAUAAGCCUAUACAUGCCACAUAACCAAAUCUCAAAGCAUUAGUUACCAAAAUGAUAACCGGAUAGUUUGAUGACGUCUCCAACAACUUCCAACUCGAGCAAUUCACUGAAACUCUAAAGACAUAGGAAAAACACACAGAGUAAGCUUCGAGAGCUUAGUAAGUCAAAAGUAAAUAAAUAACUCAAUAUUAAUAUCAACUUAGUUUAAUCAAACUAAUUUAUACUAUCAUGAUCACAUUUAUUUUCAAGCUCACAAUUUCAUAUAUAACAUAUACUUCCAUGUACAAAUUUUACCUUGACCGAAUAUACAUGUAUCUAUUAUCAAAAUAACAUACCCUUUCAAAGCCAUAUUAUCAAUGUAUAUAUAACCGAAUAUUUAAACUCUUAUAUACAUAUCUUCAUAAAUCAAACCAUAAUAACACAUAUAUAUACAUAAUAUGUGGUCGAAUAUAUAUUUUACAAUUGCCCAAAUAUGAAAACACAUACAUUUCAUUUACAAAAUCACCUAUACUUUUCAUUUCGCCAAUUAUAGAUUUUCCUAUACAUAUAUACUCUCAUUUAUGUCAUGAAUACAUAAGUAAACAGAAUGUAUAUUUUCACAUAUGCAUACAUAUAAUUCACAUUAACAUGUAACAUUUAUAUCAUUAAUCCAAACAUCCUACUUGCCAUAAUUUCAUAAUUUAGUAUAAAUACAUACCUGAGCCUUUUAAAUCGAUUUUUCAUGCGUCAGAAAAUAGCAUUACAUAACAGUUUUAUCACAUAUCUUUCAGCCAAUUUACCUUCAUUUCAAAUAAGUAAACCACAUUCACAUACCUGAUCACUUUAGCUCAUUUAACACAUUUGAUUACUUUUACCGUUGUUCACAUAAAAUUUGCUAGGCAUAAAGCCUAGUAUAAUACACCAGCACAGAGCCUGCUAGGCAAUAAGCCUGAUAUAAUACACCAGCAUAUAAGGCCUGCUAGGCAAUAAGCUUGAUAUAAUACACCGGCACAAAGCCUGCUAGGCUAUAACUAAAGCCUGCUAGGCAAUAAAGCCCGAAUAUCACUGAUACAAAGUCGGUCUUACACAUAAUUCAUAUUUCGGAAAUCCUAAUUAUUUCUUAAUGUUCAUAUUAAGCUUUUCAAACAUCAUAUCUCAAUUGAAUCGAACUUGUUCCCAAAUCUCAUAAACAUUUAUACAUUCAGCUAUAACUAAUAAAAAUUCACACAAUUAAAUUCAGCAUAUAAAGAUCAUAUACAUUCAAAUUUUAAAACGUUUAUUGCUUAUAGACUUACCUCGGACAACGGUAAUCGAAACGAGACGACUAAUCGACCACUUUGAUUUUCCCCCUGAUCCAAAUCCGAAUUCCACUUUUUCCAAUCUAAUUAAUAUCAAAAUUAACUCACUUAUUCAACAUUUCAUUAAAUUUUAUCUAAGGACACAUAAUCUGGGCAAUUUUCAUUUUAUCCCCUAACAUUUCACAUUUUCACAAUUUAGUCCCGAUUUCAAAAUAACACAAAUUACUCAAAAUUUCAUCAAACCCAUGUCAGGCCGAAUUUAUCUUAGGUCUCUAGCAACCCAUUUCUUUUAUUUUUUUCACGUUUUGACCCCUCAAUUUACAAAUUUCUAAAUUUAGUCCUUAAUACACAUUUUUAUCAAAAAUCACUUAAUUAAACAUGAAAAUCAAACAUCAAAGAUUUAUUAUUCAUCAUCAAACAACAAUUUCAUCACAUAAUAAACAAUGGAAAAUCUCAAAUUCUUCAUUAAAUCCAAAAAUUAAGGCAUGGGUUUACUAGUACUCGAAGCAACGAUCUAAAAAACGUAAAAAUUAUCAAAAACCGAGUAAAACACAUACCCGAAUUAAGCUUCCAAAGGUGCCGAAUAUUCAAAGCUUCCAAACUCAUCUUUUUGUUUUCACAUUCGGC